GAUGAACGCUGGCGGCGUGCCUAAUACAUGCAAGUCGAGCGAACAGACGAGGAGCUUGCUCCUCUGACGUUAGCGGCGGACGGGUGAGUAACACGUGGAUAACCUACCUAUAAGACUGGGAUAACUUCGGGAAACCGGAGCUAAUACCGGAUAACAUGUUGAACCGCAUGGUUCAACAGUGAAAGACGGUCUUGCUGUCACUUAUAGAUGGAUCCGCGCCGCAUUAGCUAGUUGGUAAGGUAACGGCUUACCAAGGCAACGAUGCGUAGCCGACCUGAGAGGGUGAUCAGCCACACUGGAACUGAGACACGGUCCAGACUCCUACGGGAGGCAGCAGUAGGGAAUCUUCCGCAAUGGGCGAAAGCCUGACGAAGCAACGCCGCGUGAGUGAUGAAGGUCUUCGGAUCGUAAAACUCUGUUAUUAGGGAAGAACAAAUGUGUAAGUAACUAUGCACGUCUUGACGGUACCUAAUCAGAAAGCCACGGCUAACUACGUG
rnacentral:rRNA from 1 species